AGCGAACGCUGGCGGCAUGCCUAACACAUGCAAGUCGAACGGCAGCACAGUAAGAGCUUGCUCUUACGGGCGGCGAGCGGCGGACGGGUGAGGAAUACAUCGGAAUCUACUUUUUCGUGGGGGAUAACGCAGGGAAACUUACGCUAAUACCGCAUUCGACCCAUGGGUGAAAGCAGGGGAUCUUCGGACCUUUCGCGAUUGGAUGAGCCGAUGUCGGAUUAGCUAGUUGGCGGGGUAAAGGCCCACCAAGGCGGCGAUCCGAAGCUGGUAUGAAAGGAAGGUCAGACAGACUGGAAGUGAGGCACAGCACAGACACUUGGGGGGGGAAGCGGCGGGGAAUAUUAGGCGAGGGAGGAGAGCCUGAUCCAGCAAUACGGCGUGAGUGAAGAAGGACUAAGGGUGGGAGAGCCCUUUUGUUGGGAGGGAAGUACAGCAGGUUAAUACCCCACUGUACUGACGGUACCCAAAGAAUAAGCACCGGCUAACUUCGUG
rnacentral:rRNA from 1 species